rnacentral:rRNA from 1 species
GCAAGUCGAACGAGAAAGUUUCCUUCGGGAAGCGAGUAGAGUGGCGCACGGGUGAGUAACGCGUAGGUAAUCUACCCUAAUAACUGGGAUAACAUCGGGAAACUGGUGCUAAUACCGGAUGUCCUUCUUAUCUGUUGGGUUAAGGAGGAAAGGUGGCCUCUUCAUGAAAGCUACCGUAUAAGGAUGAGCCUGCGUACCAUUAGCUAGUAGGUGGGGUAAUGGCCCACCUAGGCGACGAUGGUUAGCGGGUCUGAGAGGAUGAUCCGCCACACUGGAACUGGAACACGGACCAGACUCCUACGGGAGGCAGCAGUGAGGAAUAUUGCGCAAUGGGGGAAACCCUGACGCAGCGACGCCGCGUGAGUGAGGAAGGUUUUCGGAUCGUAAAGCUCUGUCAGAAGGGAAGAAGUGUUAUGCAGUUAAUACCUGUAUAAUUUGACGGUACCUUCAGAGGAAGCACCGGCUAACUCCGUGCCAGCAGCCGCGGUAAUACGGAGGGUGCAAGCGUUGUUCGGAAUUACUGGGCGUAAAGGGCGCGUAGGCGGCCUGAUAAGUCAGGUGUGAAAGUCCACGGCUCAACCG